GGGCGCAUAGUGUAGCUAGGAUAUCACCUUGGCCUCCUAAGCCGAUAACCCGGGUUCAAAUCCCGGUGUGCCCG
rnacentral:tRNA from 1 species